UCAGCUUGGUCAGGGGUAGAAGAAAACAGAGGGGGAAAGAUGCAAGAGAGGAGGCAUUAUCUUCUGAAGUAACCAGCAAGAGAAAAACCACUGCAUGGGGCACCUCAGGUGGAGCCAGGUGGCCGUGAGAAGUGUUGGGAAACAAGAAAUUGCUAUGGGAGAUGUCUACAGUGAGUAGACCCACUCUCCCUAUUUGUUUCAAGUAGCGUUAUCAUUGGCUGUACAAAGCUUAUUAUAGUCAAUCUUCAGGUCUGAAAAAUGCUGGUGUAUUGUACCUAAGUAGAGUGAGUUCAGGGGCUAGUGCUGAGAACACACUUAAGCCCUGGGGAUCCCUAAAACUCCUUCAGAGUAGGGGAGACCUAGAACUCCAGGAACAAAGCCUACUGGUAUGAGUUGGUGGAAUACCAUUUGACCAUUCAAAGAGAAGAACCCUAUGAACAAGGCUAUGACAGAGGACAUGCAUGCUUAACUUGGCCUCUUGGGACCUCUCCUGGGGUAUACCAUGUCGGAAGAAGCCUUCAGCUAAAAGAGGGCUGAACUCAUCACCAGACCAGAGACGAAGAUGUCCCAGGCUGCGUUCAUUCUCUGUGCACACCUGGCUGCCCAGCAAUGCUGCGUGCUCAGUGGGAGGGAAGGAUAGAGCAGGGUGGACUUGCCUUUGUAGAAGAACAAAAGGAGCUGGAAGGACGCAACCAGCUCCCUCCCCGGGAUUGCUGGGUGGUAUCCAGUGCUUUGCCAAAUGAGGAGGGUGCGGGGUUCUUUUCUUAGAAAUCUCUUUCUUCUUUUUGGGCAAUAAAGUUGAGGGUUUUUUUUUUUUAUCAUAAAUUAUUGUGUGCUCACUAAUGAAAGCCUGGCAGGUACAGGAGUAUGAUGUCAC